GCUGGGGUGGCGGAACUGGCAUACGCGCUGGCCUUAGAAGCCAGUGGUCGCAAGACCUUGGGAGUUCAAAUCUCCCCUCCAGCACCA
rnacentral:tRNA from 1 species